rnacentral:rRNA from 1 species
AUUGAACGCUGGCGGCAUGCUUUACACAUGCAAGUCGAACGGUAACAGGCCGCAAGGUGCUGACGAGUGGCGAACGGGUGAGUAAUGCAUCGGAACGUGCCCAGUCGUGGGGGAUAACGCAGCGAAAGCUGUGCUAAUACCGCAUACGAUCUAUGGAUGAAAGCGGGGGACCGUAAGGCCUCGCGCGAUUGGAGCGGCCGAUGUCAGCUUAGCUAGUUGGUGGGGUAAAGGCCCACCAAGGCGACGAUCUGUAGCUGGUCUGAGAGGAGGACCAGCCAACGUGGGACUGAGACACGGCCCAGACUCCUACGGGAGGCAGCAGUGGGGAAUUUUUGACAAUGGGCGCAAGCCUGAUCCAGCCAUGCCGCGUGCGGGAAGAAGGCCUUCGGGUUGUAAACCGCUUUUGUCAGGGAAGAAAUUUUCUGAGUUAAUACCUCGGGAGGAUGACGGUACCUGAAGAAUAAGCACCGGCUAACUACGUGCCAGCAGCCGCCGUAAUAC